AUGGGGUGACUGCGUACCUUUUGUAUAAUGGGUCAGCGACUUAUAUUCUGUAGCAAGGUUAACCGUAUAGGGGAGCCGUAGGGAAACCGAGUCUUAACUGGGCGAAUGAGUUGCAGGGUAUAGACCCGAAACCCGGUGAUCUAUCCAUGGGCAGGUUGAAGGUUGGGUAACACUAACUGGAGGACCGAACCGACUAAUGUUGAAAAAUUAGCGGAUGACUUGUGGAUGGGGGUGAAAGGCCAAUCAAACCGGGAGAUAGCUGGUUCUCCCCGAAAGCUAUUUAGGUAGCGCCUCGUGAACUCAUCUUCGGGGGUAGAGCACUGUUUCGACUAGGGGGUCAUCCCGACUUACCAACUCGAUGCAAACUGCGAAUACCGAAGAAUGUUAUCACGGGAGACACACGGCGGGUGCUAACGUCCGUCGUGAAGAGGGAAACAACCCAGACCGCCAGCUAAGGUCCCAAAGUCAUGGUUAAGUGGGAAACGAAGUGGGAAGGCUCAGACAGCCAGGAUGUUGGCUUAGAAGCAGCCAUCAUUUAAAGAAAGCGUAAUAGCUCACUGGUCGAGUCGGCCCGCGCGGAAGAUGUAACGGGGCUAAACCAUGCACCGAAGCUGCGGCAGCGACACAUAGUGUUGUUGGGUAGGGGAGCGUUCUGUAAGCCUGCGAAGGUGUACUGUGAGGUAUGCUGGAGGUAUCAGAAGUGCGAAUGCUGACAUAAGUAACGAUAAUGCGGGUGAAAAACCCGCACGCCGGAAGACCAAGGGUUCCUGUCCAACGUUAAUCGGGGCAGGGUGAGUCGACCCCUAAGGCGAGGCUGAAAAGCGUAGUCGAUGGGAAACGGGUUAAUAUUCCCGUACUGGUGGUAACUGCGAUGGGGGAACGGAGAAGGCUAGGUUGUCCGGGCGACGGUCGUCCCGGUUCAAGCAGGUAGGCAGAGUGAUUAGGCAAAUCCGGUCACUUAAUGCUGAGAUGUGAUGACGAACCACUAAGGUGGUGAAGCAAUUGAUGCCCCGCUUCCAGGAAAAGCCUCUAAGCUUCAGGUUACCAACAAUCGUACCCCAAACCGACACAGGUGGUCAGGUAGAGAAUACUCAGGCGCUUGAGAGAACUCGGGUGAAGGAACUAGGCAAAAUGGUGCCGUAACUUCGGGAGAAGGCACGCUGGCGGUAGGUAAAGUCCCUCGCGGAC
rnacentral:rRNA from 1 species